UCUCCGUUGGUGAACCAGCGGAGGGAUCAUUACCGAGUUUACAACUCCCAAACCCCUAUGUGAACGUUACCAAACUGUUGCCUCGGCGGGAAAUUCAUGCCCCGGGCGCGUCGCAGCCCCGGACCAAGGCGCCCGCCGGAGGACCAACCAAAACUCUGUUGUAUGUCCCUCGCGGACUUUCAUAAUUCUGAACCAUCUCGGCGCCCCUAGCGGGCGUUUCGGAAAUGAAUCAAAACUUUCAACAACGGAUCUCUUGGUUCUG
rnacentral:misc_RNA from 1 species